CGCGGGGUAGAGCAGCUCGGUAGCUCGUCGGGCUCAUAACCCGAAGGUCGUUGGUUCAAAUCCGGCCCCCGCAACCA
rnacentral:tRNA from 2 species